rnacentral:rRNA from 1 species
CGGAGGUGCAAGCGUUAUCCGGAUUUACUGGGUUUAAAGGGUGCGUAGGUGGGUCUGUAAGUCAGUGGUGAAAUCUCCGAGCUUAACUCGGAAACUGCCAUUGAUACUAUAGGUCUUGAAUUAUCUGGAGGUGAGCGGAAUAUGUCAUGUAGCGGUGAAAUGCUUAGAUAUGACAUAGAACACCAAUUGCGAAGGCAGCUCACUACGGAUUGAUUGACACUGAGGCACGAAAGCGUGGGAUCAAACAGGAUU